UACGAAGGGGGCUAGCGUUGCUCGGAAUCACUGGGCGUAAAGCGCACGUAGGCGGACUUUUAAGUCAGGGGUGAAAUCCUGGAGCUCAACUCCAGAACUGCCUUUGAUACUGGAAGUCUUGAGUUCGAGAGAGGUGAGUGGAACUGCGAGUGUAGAGGUGAAAUUCGUAGAUAUUCGCAAGAACACCAGUGGCGAAGGCGGCUCACUGGCCCGAUACUGACGCUGAGGCACGAUAGCGUGGGGAGCAAACAGG
rnacentral:rRNA from 1 species